AAUCCGUUCACUAGAAGUCAAGAUAAUGGAAUUUUUAGUCCAGGAGUGCCUGGAAGAAAUAAAAUAAUUUGUCUCUUAUUGGCAAGUGAAUAUCUCGAGUUCUAGUGGUUGGAAUCUUGUAACUAUUGAUUUCUGAGAUACUUUAGGCCUUUUUACGUGUUUUCUGAAAAAAUCAUUCAAAUCCCUUCAUUAGAAGUCAAGAUAUUGAAAUUCUUAGUCCAGGAGUGCCUGGAAGAAAUAAAAUAAUUUGUCUCUUAUUGGCAAGUGAAUAUCUUGAGUUCUACGGGUUGGAAUCUUGUAAUUAUUGAUUUCUGAGAUACUUUAGGGCUUUUUAAGUGUUUUCUGAAAAAAUCAUUCAAAUCCCUUCAUUAGAAGUCAAGAUAUUGAAAUUCUUAGUCCAGGAGUGCCUGGAAGAAAUAAAAUAAUUUGUCUCUUAUUGGCAAGUGAAUAUCUUGAGUUCUACGGGUUGGAAUCUUGUAAUUAUCGAUUUCUGAGAUACUUUAGGGCUUUUUAAGUGUUUUCUGAAAAAAUCAUUAAAAUCCGUUCAUUAAAAGUCAAGAUAUUGAAAUUCUUAGUCCAGGAGUGCCUGGAAGAAGUAAAAUAAUUUGUCUCUUAUUGGCAAGUGAAUAUCUUGGGUUCUAGUGGUUGGAAUCUUGUAAUUAUUGAUUCCUGAGAUACUUUAGGCCUUUUUAAGUGUUUUCUGAAAAAAUCAUUCAAAUCCGUUCAUUAGAGGUCAAGAUAAUGGAAUUCAUAGUCCAGGAGUGCCUGGAAGAAAUAAAAUAAUUUGUCUCUUAUUGGCAAGUGAAUAUCUCGAGUUCUAGUGGUUGGAAUCUUGUAACUAUUGAUUUCUGAGAUACUUUAGGCCUUUUUAAGUGUUUUCUGAAAAAAUCAUUCAAAUCCGUUCAUUAGAGGUCAAGAUAAUGGAAUUCAUAGUCCAGGAGUGCCUGGAAGAAAUAAAAUAAUUUGUCUCUUAUUGGCAAGUGAAUAUCUCGAGUUCUAGUGGUUGGAAUCUUGUAACUAUUGAUUUCUGAGAUACUUUAGGCCUUUUUAAGUGUUUUCUGAAAAAAUCAUUCAAAUCCGUUCAUUAGAGGUCAAGAUAAUGGAAUUCAUAGUCCAGGAGUGCCUGGAAGAAAUAAAAUAAUUUGUCUCUUAUUGGCAAGUGAAUAUCUCGAGUUCUAGUGGUUGGAAUCUUGUAACUAUUGAUUUCUGAGAUACUUUAGGCCUUUUUAAGUGUUUUCUGAAAAAAUCAUUCAAAUCCGUUCAUUAGAGGUCAAGAUAAUGGAAUUCAUAGUCCAGGAGUGCCUGGAAGAAAUAAAAUAAUUUGUCUCUUAUUGGCAAGUGAAUAUCUCGAGUUCUAGUGGUUGGAAUCUUGUAACUAUUGAUUUCUGAGAUACUUUAGGCCUUUUUAAGUGUUUUCUGAAAAAAUCAUUCAAAUCCGUUCAUUAGAGGUCAAGAUAAUGGAAUUCAUAGUCCAGGAGUGCCUGGAAGAAAUAAAAUAAUUUGUCUCUUAUUGGCAAGUGAAUAUCUCGAGUUCUAGUGGUUGGAAUCUUGUAACUAUUGAUUUCUGAGAUACUUUAGGCCUUUUUAAGUGUUUUCUGAAAAAAUCAUUCAAAUCCGUUCACUAGAAGUCAAGAUAAUGGAAUUCAUAGUCCAGGAGUGCCUGGAAGAAAUAAAAUAAUUUGUCUCUUAUUGGCAAGUGAAUAUCUCGAGUUCUAGUGGUUGGAAUCUUGUAACUAUUGAUUUCUGAGAUACUUUAGGCCUUUUUAAGUGUUUUCUGAAAAAAUCAUUCAAAUCCGUUCAUUAGAGGUCAAGAUAAUGGAAUUCAUAGUCCAGGAGUGCCUGGAAGAAAUAAAAUAAUUUGUCUCUUAUUGGCAAGUGAAUAUCUUGAGUUCUAGUGGUUGGAAUCUUGUAAUUAUUGACUUCUGAGAUACUUUAGGGCUUUUUAAGUGUUUUCUGAAAAAAUCAUUCAAAUGGUCUGUGGGAGCCUUUUCGGUGUCCUUAAGUGACCUGAAAUGUAGAGUUAACUCCUAGAAAUUUCCGGGUUUUGCGAGCAGUUGCCAGUAGUACUGCCUUUUACAUGUGCUUAUAUAGAUGUUCCCCAGUUGUUCCUAGUUGCUUAAGGUAUUCCAGUAGACUCUUUGGUAUUACACCCGUUGUCGAUAUAACAUUCUCCAUUGCCUUUCGAUUUCAGUUUCUAGAUGUCUUUAUUUGGCGAUUUUCUCAGUGUGUUUCUCUUGCAGAUUAUUGUUGUUCGGUAUGGCUUCAAGUCAAUUAGAGUGUUGUUUUCCUGAAAAUUUUAUCUAUUAAAAUAAGAUCUGGUCUAUUAUGCCUUACAUGUUGAUCGGUAAGUACACUGCGGUCCCAAUAUAACUUAUAUCGGUCAUUUUCCACUACGGGUUCUGGACUAUAUUUAUAAUACGGAACCUUCUCUGUUGUAAUAAGUUCCAACUUCAUUGCCAACCCUUGAUGUAAAAUUUUCCCAACUGAGUCUUUGUAUUCUGUCGCUGCAAAGGCCUGACAUCCUCCUGUUAUGUGCCGGAUUGUCUCUGAUGUUUGGCAUCCAUACCGGCAUUUGUCGUUUUGUACGGACGGAUCUCUCACGAUGUGCUUGAGAUAAUUUCUUGUUGGUAUAACCUGAUCUUGGAUGCCUUGGUUUCUGGAAACAUUUUGCCUGAUACCAACCAAUAGUUCGAUCUCAUUAGGAUGCCGUCCAUGAAGGGGCUUCUCCUGGUCCGUAUGAUGGUAGCUGCGCGCUUCCUCGCUCUUAAGUUGUAGAGAAGUAGAAUCGUCUAUUUGAUUUAUUGCGCGAUGCAGCGUGGAAUUUUCUCCUUGCCUCUAAAAAUAGGAUCUUAAGUUAGUGAUUUGUUUUUCAAAUUGUUUACCCAGAUCUAUUAAUCCUCUUUCUCCAAGGUGGCGGGGGAGCAUUGUUCUUUCAGUGGCACUUCGAGGGUAGUAGGGAGGGGUCCUCACUUUUCUUUGUAGCCUUUCUAUGUCUGUCCUACUCCAAUUAAUUACCCCAAAAGAAUAACUAAGAGCUGAACAUGCGUAGGAGUUAAGUGCCUUAAACAUAUUUUUGCUGUUCUCAAAACUUGUCUUACCCUUUUUACAAACUCGUUAGUCGGUUCGCAUAUCAUUGUUUGUUGUUCAAUCGUUUGUGAUUGUUUCAUCCCCAAGUAUUUGUAAAUGGCCUCGAGGGUCUGGACAUUCUGCAUCUGAUAUUCUCCUGGCUGAAUUUUUCCUCGGAUUAUAUUGAGAGUACGGCGGCAUUUAUCUAGUCCAAGUUGCAUGCCGAUGUCGUUGGAGGAGAACUCUUCUACUAUCUGCAGCAUUUGGUCAUGCAACAGAUCGAGGGUUUUGCAAACGAUCCGGUCUACUUGGGUCAGUGGUCCUUGGUCCGCUGGUCGAGCGGUUUCCAUUACGGAAUAAAUGGUAUUCUCCGCUUGAUCCAGGGUCCAGUUGAACAAACUGUUUGAGCCCUAUAAUUUAGAAAGUUAUUCAUUAAAUAACAUUGAAAGUCGAAAAACUCAUCCAUUAUCCCAAAGAUGCUGGGCAUACACUUUUUGUAGUCUGAGCGUUUAAGCGAUGUAGGAAUAAAGCCACAAUCUCCCAAUAACAAUUAUAUUUACAAAUAUCCCAAACAAUAACUUUGAAUAAAUAAUAAUUCUUAAUUUAUGCAAGUCUUAUCACUUCGAGUCGAACCAAUAUAUCUAUUCUCUUUUGUUAUCUCGCCCUGCGAAAUAUAUUAAAGAAUGUGACGCUCGCCUGAGUUAUUCCAAAAACAUCCGAUCAGGUGAGUCAUGUCGUUGAAUAUUUUAAGUUUCAGAGGUGGAUUAGGAAGGGUAGUACGUCAUUUUAUAAAAGGUAAAAAACACGAAAUCUACAGCAUCACAAAUACAUUUAAUAAAAUAACGUGUAUAAAAGUGUAUGCCCAGCAUCUUUGGGAUAAUGGAUGAGUUUUUCGAGUUAAAUAAUGCUAAUCAAGCUUCACUCAUCCGCCUCUACCAGAAAAACCUUAUCUCAAGGAAGAAUUACCUACUGAAGAUAUGGUUUAUUCAACAAUGCUUGCUUUUUCACCUUACGCCAAAUUUCGUUUCUUUGCGAUGCAAAACAAGGACUCAUGCAGGUAGAAAAGCCUUAGACCUGGCGAGAAAAUCAUGGUUGAAAGAAGAAAUCAAAGACCACUACAGGAACUUAAACAACGUCAAUGUAAAAUUAAAGUUUUUAUUUUUCAAACUUAACAACUUAUUACAUUAUGCGGAAUUUAUUUAUUUGGAUUGUAAAUUCAGAGAUGAAGUAACAACUUUCGGCUCUACUACUUUUAAUAGAUUACACAAGAAACUUAGUAACCUUAAAAACAAAUAUAUAACUUCACUUAGACUCAAUGAUUUCCACGAAUAUCGCAUAAGAAAUUUUAGUCAUGUUUUUCACGAUAGAUUUAUGAACCUUAGUGAUGUUUCUUUUUCUGAAGUCGAAUUAAAAUUUCUUAACAACAAUUUAAAAUUUAAUCUUCCUACCAGAACCGACCGAUGUGUUAGGGAAACAUUGGCUGUAGAGGCUGAAAAUGCUCUACAGUCAACGGAUAUAUCAAAUAAGAACAUUUUAAGAGCAAGAAUAAUUUCCUUUUUAAAUCAAAAUUGUUUCCUUAACAAUAAACAGAGAAUAAAUCAAAACAACAACAAAAUAUUAAGAUCUAUAAAAAAGAAAAUGAGGGACAACGAUAUAGUUUUCACAAAAGCCGAUAAGGGAUCAUGCUUACUUGCCUUAAAAAGAGACGAUUACAUAAAUAAAGUAAUGGAUUUUCUAAACACAGAAGACUUUGAAAAGGUCGACAGAGAUCCGACAGGUCCAUUCUUUAAUAAAUUAAAAAAAGUCUUAGACAUGACCUUGGUAACCUUAGAAUAUUUUAAUUCUACAAAACAAAAACUAUAUCCCAUGAACCCUAAAACACCUCUAUUAUAUGGGUUGCCAAAAGUCCAUAAAACUAGCAUGCCAAUUAGACCUGUGGUUUCCUUUGUUGACUCCCCUUGUUACCAGUUAUCAUCUUGGCUUAACAACGUUCUUAGAAAUGUCUCAAACUUCAAAGCACCAUAUUCUGUAACAAAUUCAGUGAAUUUUGCCAAAAGCAUUCAGAAUGUUCACGUUCCAGAUACAGCCCAGCUUAUAUCGCUAGACGUGAAAAACUUAUUUCCAAACAUUCCACCCGCUGAUUGUCUGGUCUUAGUCAAAGAUCUUCUCAGGGGGAAACUUGAUUCACUUUUGGUGGAAAAUCUACUUUUGCUUCUUUCUACUGUGUUAGAUCAAAAUUUUUUCCAAUUUAACAACCGUUUUUUCAAACAAAAAGAAGGUCUAGCAAUGGGCUGUUCUUUAUCGCCAUUUCUUAGUGAAGUAUUUCUUAGCAACUUAGAAACAAAAAUAAUGAGCAGUAAUUUUAAAAAUAACAUCAUCUUUUAUAAACGGUAUGUGGAUGAUAUAUGUUUGAUUUGGAAUGGAAGUGAGGUAGAGCUUACAAAUUUCCAUAAUUAUGUCAACUCUCUUCACUCUAAAAUUGAGUUCACAAUCGAACGGGAACAGAACAACACCUUACCAUUCUUAGAUUUAUUACUUAAGAGGGAAAGAAAUAAGAUAUCCUUUGAAAUAUUUCGUAAACAAGCAACAACAGAUAAUAUUAUACAAUAUAAUUCAACAUCACCGUCCUCACAUAAAUUUGCUGCUUUUCAUUCUUUAUUUUACAGACUUUUUAACAUUCCACUUUCUCGUGAAGCUUUUAAAAAAGAAUUCCUUACCAUUAAACAACUAGCAGUCAGUAACUUUUUUCCCUCUUAAACCUAUAUAUAAAAUGUAUUUUCAAUAUGUGAACAAGUAUAAAUUAUCAUUUAAUUUUAUCAGACAACAAACAAACAAUAUCAAAACUUUUAGGUCGUUUACUUAUUUUGGACCAAUUUCGUCACAAUUAUCCCGCUUUUUUUCUCCCUUUGGCAUAACCGCAGCUUUUAAAACCAAUAAUACCUUAAAUAGACAUCUAAUUAAAACUAAAGAUAAACUAGCCCCGCUAUCUUCUCCAGGAGUUUAUGAGAUUAGGUGUAAAGAGUGCCCUGCAGUGUACGUCGGCCAGCAGUGCUGCCAGAUGUAACAUAAUUAUCGAAUUGUAACAUAAUUUAUCCUUAAAAUUGAACUGAAAUAUUACUUGUACCAUAUUCGAUAAUUGUAACAUAAUUUCACUAGAAAAUAAUUCAAAACGUUAAAAUACAUUUCAAACUUAAUAAACUACCAAGAGAGUUUAGGAUUUUUACCAUAACGUGAGUUAUAUUAUUGGCAAAAUGUAUAUGUAUACCAUCUAUCUAUUAUAGGCAUCUACCCAUUAUAUUUCCUCCCUACUAGCUAUUUUUCAAUUAUUUAUCCGAACUUCAAACCGAUAACGCCAUCUCUGGUGCAAGUUCAAGACCAAAUCAAUCAAAUCCAAAUCUUUAAACGGCGCUCGGCGUGGGCUCCGCUCCGCCGGUAACGAGUUGUGGGAAUCACCGAACAGAACGUCAAAUAAAAAUAAAAUCAUACAUAUUAAAGCCUACGGUAGAGAGCUAUAACUUUUUCACUGUGUAAUUGGUAAUAUUAUAAUUGAAACGUGUAAAAUGAACGCUGCAACUACGUCAAAAUAUUCUUCUGAUUCGGACUCGGAAUCUGAAGCAAACAUCAAUAGGAAACGUUUUAAAAACAUGCAAAGACGGGAAACUAGACCUCAGCAAUACAGGGUAGAAUGGGAAAAUCUUUAUAAGGCGUGGUUAAAACCUGUUAAAGAUAAUCCUCUACGGGCAAGGUGCAUUACAUGUAACACUGAUUUCCAAGCUGAUAUUACAGUCAUCAAAAAUCACGGCAAGGGCGUUAAACACAUGAAGCUUGUAAAGGGACUGGCAUCAAAUCAACCUAAAAUCGAUUCUUCAUUUUUUAAAAAGAAUGAGGCUCAAGAUCAAGUUUCCCAAGCAGAGAUCAAAGUAGCCGCUUUUAUUUCUGAGCAUAACUUAUCUAUGAAACUGUCAGAUCAUUUAGUGCCCCUUAUGAAAAAUAUGUUUCCUGACUCCAGAAUUGCCAAAGACAUGCAAAUGGGAAGAACCAAAUGUACCGGCAUUAUUAAGAACGUUUUGGGGAAAUGUUGUUUUGAGGAGCUUGUAGAAGAGCUAAGGUAUAAAAGGUUUAGUUUUUUAAUAGACGAAUCUACAGAUAUAAGCAGCGUAAAAAAUAUGUGUGUUUGCGUGCGGUACUUUUCUUCAAAAUGUCAAAAAGUUGUAACUAGAUUUUUUAGUUUAGUGCAAUGUUUUUCUGGCAAAAAUGCUGAUGAAGCAAAUACUGGUGCUACGGCUGAGGUAAUAUACAACAAGCUUAUUGCUGUAUUUACAUCAUCCGGGUUACCCUUAGAAAAUAUCAUAGGCUUUGGUUCGGACGGCUGCAACACAAUGUUUGGGUCAAAAAAUUCUGUUGUUACUCGAUUAGAACUUAACUUCCCUGGAAUAGUUAUUCAAAAAUGUAUAUGUCAUUCUCUCCAUUUAUGCGCCAGUGAAGCAUGUAAAGUUCUUCCACGGCACUGUGAAGACUUAGCUAGGAAUAUUUUUAGUUUUUUUAAACACAGUAGCAAAAGGCAAGCUCAGCUUUUAGAAUUUCAAGAAUUUUGUCAAGUUGAGCCUCACAAAAUUUUGCGGCCUUCGCAGACUAGGUGGUUUUCACUGCUCAUGGUAGUUAACAGAAUUAUUGAGCAGUGGAUUAUCCAUUACAGCUAUAUUUUACCCAGCAGUGGAUUGGACAUAGAUUACUAGCAUCCGAAACCAUAGCCAAUAGGUUAGGUGACAGUGAAACUAAACUUUUUUUUUAUUUUCUCCAAUGGAUUCUUCCAAAAUUUGUCGAAUUAAACAUUUAUUUUCAAAACGAACAAGUAGUUAUAACAACAGUUUAUACUAAAAUGUGCGAAACUUUUAAAUUUCUUUUGUUGGCCUUUUUAAAACCCAAUUAUGUCCAUCAAACAGAAUUGCAAAACAUAGAUCCAUCUAACGAUAAAUAUUUUAUAGAGUUAAACCAAGUAUAUCUUGGUAUUAAGGUAAUGGAAAAUAUUAAUAAACUAAAUCAGCAACAACAAGAUGACUUCCUCAUCCGAUGUCGUCAAUUUUUAAUAGUAUCUGCUAUGGAGAUGAAAAAAAGGUUUAAUUUCAAUGAUAGUAUCUUAUCUAACUUAGCUAUAUUUGAUAAGAAUUAUUGUAAGCCAAGACCUCAGUCUCUUAUAGGGGUAAUAAACUUACUACCUAGAAUUAUAGAUCCUCAAGAUACCGACAAAAAACAAAAAAUUGAUGACCAGUGGAGGCUAUAUUGUCAGUGCCUAAAUGAGUUUGAUGAGGAUAUUAAAAAUGAAAAUAACAUUGACAAAUAUUGGUAUAAAAUAUCUAUAAAGAAAGACCUUUUAGACUCCAAACCAUAUGCAGAUUUAGGCGCAUUUGUUUUGGAUAUCCUUAUUUUACCCCAUUCCAAUGCAGAUUGUGAACGGGUUUUCUCUAAGGUAAAUCUCAUUAAAACUGAUACGCGUAAUAGUUUGUGCACUAAAACUAUAAAUGCACUACUUUUAUCAUCACAGCGCGCUCAUGGUGAAUGCUAUAAUUUUGAUGUUACUCAAAAAAUGACAAAGUCUAUGAUAUCAAAUAUAAUAUAUAAGAAGGAUGGUGAAGAAGAUAUUAAUAUUUCAUUUGAAUAAUGACUUUUGUGUUAACAUUUUUUUCUUGUACCUAAUUUCUGGUUUAAAUUUCAUACAUAAUAUCAAAAUAUAUAAGUUAAAUUUAUAUUUGUUGGGGUUUUAUUUAAUACUAACUGUUUUUUACUAACGACGCAAUUUUUUUAUUUCCAUUCCUCAAUACUCUCUCUUAGAAAAAUAAGUUCCGGAUUGUAACAUAUUUUUCGAGAAAAUCCGAUAAUUUUGACAACGUCGCUCGAUAAUUUCAUACGUCACAUCUGGCAGCACUGGUCGGCCAGUCUGGUAGGAAGAUUUCUACUAGGAUUAGUGAACACAAGGCCCAAUACAAUAAAUUUAAAAAUACCGAAAUCACAGUGACCAGAUCAGCUUUUGCUAAUCACCUUCUCGACUCCAGACAUGAUUUUCCUGACAGCCAAAAUAUAAAAAUACUGCAUCAAUGCAACAAAAGUAAAAAACUAGACUUGUUGGAGACAAUGGAGGUUAGUAAAGCUUUUAAAAGCCCAGAUCUGUCCUGUGUUAAUGAAAGGUUUGAUUUUGAUGGCCACCUAGUUUUUAAUAACCUCAAGUAGUUCUAGACUCUUAAAUGAUGGUUAGAUUUCUGAAAUGUAUAAAGGAUUUGAUUGUUCAGUUGAGUUCUUUGUACAUAGAUAGUGCCACUUUAUUGUAAUCUUUGUUUACUUAAAUAUUAGGUGUUUUGUGUAUGUUAUGGUAAGUUUUUGUUGAAUUAUCCUGUUUUCGGGUUACAUAAUUUUAAUUAUUGUUUAGGUCUGAUGAUGCUCUAGUCGAGCGAAACAUGUAACCUUCGUUAUUUUAUUAAAUGUAUUUGUGAUGCUGUAGAUUUCGUGUUUUUUACCUUUUAUAAAAGUAACAUUGAAAGUUACUGGAUUUAUACAGGUAUAAUGUGUGUAUGGAAAUUAAUUGAUUAAAAGUUUGUAAGUUUACUUGUGACUGACAGGGCGCAUUUAUUGGCCUGCUCGUUCACCAGAUCUAACAGCGUGUGAUUUUUUACUGUGGGGCUAUUUUUAUCUUAGUAAGUGAUUUAACUUUGCAAUCUCGGAUGCUAAACCCAUAGUUGGUAGAGUUAAGACGGUUCGAAAGAGGGUUCAUAGCAAGACAGAACCAUAAUGGGCUCAGUGAGUCCCCUUGGAAGAUUCCUGUUCGAAUUGGAAAGUUGUUUGUACUUACUGUGCUUUACUGGAUCGUUGUUCUCCAACUUGUCGUAGCGCUCUCUAGAAAAGACAAAGUAUUACCAUCAACUUUAUACACUUUUAAAAUGUUUAUAAGCCAUUCGUGUGGUACUGAGUCGAAGGCUUUCUUAUAGUCGACGUAGGCAAUAAAAAUAUUUCUCUUGUUGUGAUAUGCCUGGUUGUUGAUGACAGUUGUUGUUCUUAUAUUAUUAUUAUUAUUAUUAUUAUUAAUUAACAAAUAGCUAUCGCCUGCCGUUACUGAAGUAAUAAAAUAAAAUCAAUUACUCCCAAAUAAUUAAUUUUUAAUUUGAAACCUUCCUUUUAUAUUUUAUGUUUACAUUUACAUUAACAUUUACUUUAGUAUUUAUGUUUACAUUUUCACAUUAUAAUUGGGAUUUAGGGAAAUUCAG
rnacentral:misc_RNA from 1 species